GAAGAAACCCUUUACCAGGUCUUGACAUACCGAUGCUAUUUCUAGAGAUAGAAAGUUACUUCGGUACAUCGGUGACAGGUGGUGCAUGGUUGUCGUCAGCUCGUGUCGUGAGAUGUUGGGUUAAGUCCCGCAACGAGCGCAACCCCUAUUGUUAGUUGCCAUCAUUCAGUUGGGCACUCUAGCGAGACUGCCGGUAAUAAACCGGAGGAAGUGGGAUGACGUCAAAUCAUCAUGCCCCUUAUGACCUGGGCUACACACGUGCUACAAUGGUUGGUACAACGAGUUGCGAGUCGGUGACGGCGAGCUAAUCUCUUAAAGCCAAUCUCAGUUCGGAUUGUAGGCUGCAACUCGCCUACAUGAAGUCGGAAUCGCUAGUAAUCGCGGAUCAGCACGCCGCGGUGAAUACGUUCCCGGGCCUU
rnacentral:rRNA from 1 species